GAUGAACGCUGGCGGCGUGCCUAAUACAUGCAAGUCGAGCGAACAGACGAGGAGCUUGCUCCUCUGACGUUAGCGGCGGACGGGUGAGUAACACGUGGAUAACCUACCUAUAAGACUGGGAUAACUUCGGGAAACCGGAGCUACUACCGGAUAAUAUAUUGAACCGCAUGGUUCAAUAGUGAAAGACGGUUUUGCUGUCACUUAUAGAUGGAUCCGCGCCGCAGUAGCUAGUUGGUAAGGUAACGGCUUACCAAGGCAACGAUGCGUAGCCGACCUGAGAGGGUGAUCGGCCACACUGGAACUGAGACACGGUCCAGACUCCUACGGGAGGCAGCAGUAGGGAAUCUUCCGCAAUGGGCGAAAGCCUGACGGAGCAACGCCGCGUGAGUGAUGAAAGUCUUCGGAUCGUAAAACUCUGUUAUUAGGGAAGAACAAAUGUGUAAGUAACUAUGCACGUCUUGACGGUACCUAAUCAGAAAGCCACGGCUAACUACGUG
rnacentral:rRNA from 1 species